UAUUCCUCACUAGAGUCAUCGAGAAUAAUAUUAAACAACUCUUUGCUUUUUCUUGUAGUUAAAGGAAAAGAUAAAAUUUCUGCAAUUCGGUUUCAACGUUUGUUGCGUAUAGACAGACCAAUUCAUUACAGCCAAUUGUUUAGCCAAUCAGAAGAUUUGAACGAGGAAAGCAACAAUUUAAGCAUGAUAAAGAUUGCGUAAAAGCCAAGGAUAAACACAAUCUCUCAUUAUUUAGAUAAGAGCCGACUUUUUUUGAAUGGAUGCGUCGUUUCCGUCAAGUAACGUAGAUUUUGAGGCCUUUAAGUAUCUCCAUUGUUAUCGUCAUCGUUUUCAUUUAUUAUGUACCCAUUGCAAGGCAUGGCAGAGGGACCACUCAUACCAGAGGUUUUUUCGGCUAUGGAUUUCAUAGGGUUGAGAGAGUGUUUCUGAGCUUGUCACACGAGUAUAUUAGACUGCAGAUUGAUCCUAGGUUUUUUCCAUUUUUUUCCUUUCUCAAGUCUGGGUUAGAACCCCAUAUUUUGGAGCUGUGAAAAGUUAGGGGAUUUGAAAAUUAGGUAGAUUGGCUUUCGACAUAGCCCAAUUCUAUAUUAUAUCUUCAGAGCAAGAUCUUCCUUAUUUCUUGUUGGGGCAACUAUAGUGUAUGACGCCAUUCUGUAUUUGAGAAUUUCAGCACUUUUCUCUGGGCGGGCACUUAAGUAUUUAUAUGCACAUAACUAUUGGGGUGCAGAGUUGCUUUCCCUAUUUUUGUCUGGUUAUAGACUUAUAGUCUUAGAUACCUUUCUGCAUCUGAGGAAUUGAGCACCUUUCUCCAAACUGGCUAUUUUUUAUUUGAGAGUCCAUCAAGCUUUGUGCGUCUAACAAAUUGGGCACCUUUUUCUCCAGUCUGGUUGGUUUUAUUUCAAGAGCCCAUUUGCACAUAACCUCUUUAGCACGGCUCUUUGGCUGCUACAAUUGGCAAUUAUGUUUGACAACAGCUCAGCUCCUCUCUCAGUGAGAGGACAGUCACAGAUGGAUCAGAUCUUUCGUCAAUUGUGCUCCUUGUUGUACCGAAUUCUGGACUGUCCGCCGAGUGAGCUAUUUUCAGGAUCUGUUGGCUACCAUCGUGUAGGUAGAGGCCAGAUAACUCCUGUUGGCUUUGCUUCUCUUCUUUUUGGGAUAGCUUCAGCUCUCAUGUUAAUUGGAUCUACUGCAUUUAUGAUUGGCAUUAUGAUGAUGCCUUUAGUGGCAAUGGUGGCCAUGGUUUUCUCUUUUAUUGGCAUUUUUGCAAAUUUAACCACCCCAGCAAUGUGGUCCUGGUCUCGAGGUGGAGGAUUGGAUAAGAAGAAUGGAAAGGAGGAUUGCAUGUCUGGCAUCUGAUCUGUUCGAGGCACUGAAUACAGCUAAACAUUAUGGAUGGUUAUGCAAAGCAGACAAUCAUGUAAUAUAUAUGCUAUCAUAUUUAUUCAUCGGGUGAAAGGAGUAAGUUCUUGACUUUUAUUUUUGUAAGAUUAUUGAAAAUAAAAAAUGUCGACCUAUAUUUUGCAAGAUUAUCGAAAAUUAAAAAUGCCCAUGGCUCUCUUUAUUCCUAGAAAUGGGCUCGAAUACAUACAUAUUAUGUUGAACUUUUAACCUAAUGAUUUCAUUCAACUAUUGUAGAGAUAAAUUUUAUGAACAUCCUAUUUGUCA